rnacentral:rRNA from 1 species
GCCUACCAUGCAAGUCGAGCAGUAGCACAGAGAGCUUGCGCUCGGGUGACGAGCGGCGGACGGGUGAGUAAUGUCUGGGAAACUGCCUGAUGGAGGGGGAUAACUACUGGAAACGGUAGCUAAUACCGCAUAACGUCGCAAGACCAAAGUGGGGGACCUUCGGGCCUCAUGCCAUCAGAUGUGCCCAGAUGGGAUUAGCUAGUAGGUGGGGUAACGGCUCACCUAGGCGACGAUCCCUAGCUGGUCUGAGAGGAUGACCAGCCACACUGGAACUGAGACACGGUCCAGACUCCUACGGGAGGCAGCAGUGGGGAAUAUUGCAGAAUGGGCGCAAGCCUGAUGCAGCCAUGCCGCGUGUAUGAAGAAGGCCUUCGGGUUGUAAAGUACUUUCAGCGGGGAGGAAGGCGAUAAUGUUAAUAACCUUGUCGAUUGACGUUACCCGCAGAAGAAGCACCGGCUAACUCCGUGCCAGCAGCCGCGGUAAUACGGAGGGUGCAAGCGUUAAUCGGAAUUACUGGGCGUAAAGCGCACGCAGGCGGUCUGUCAAGUCGGAUGUGAAAUCCCCGGGCUCAACCUGGGAACUGCAUUCGAAACUGGCAGGCUAGAGUCUUGUAGAGGGGGGUAGUAUUCCUGGUGUAGCGGUAAAAUGCGUAGAGAUCUGGAGGAAUACCGGUGGCGAAGGCGGCCCCCUGGACAAAGACUGACGCUCAGGUGCGAAAGCGUGGGGAGCAAACAGGAUUAGAUACCCUAGCUAGUCCACGCCGUAAACGAUGUCGAUUUGGAGGUUGUGCCCUUGAGGCGUGGCUUCCGGAGCUAACGCGUUAAAUCGACCGCCCAGGGAGUACGGCCGCAAGGUUAAAACUCAAAUGAAUUGACGGGGGCCCGCACAAGCGGUGGAGCAUGUGGUUUAAUUCGAUACAACGCAAAGAACCUUACCUGGUCUUGACAUCCGCAGAACUUACCAGAGAUGCUUUGGUGCCUUCGGGAACUGUGAGACAGGUGCUGCAUGGCUGUCGUCAGCUCGUGUUGUGAAAUGUUGGGUUAAGUCCCGCAACGAGCGCAACCCUUAUCCUUUGUUGCCAGCGGUUCGGCCGGGAACUCAAAGGAAACUGCCAGUGAUAAACUGGAGGAAGGUGGGGAUGACGUCAAGUCAUCAUGGCCCUUACAACCAGGGGUUCACACCUGCUUCAAUGGGUUAUCC